AUGCUGAUUGGAUUAAGGAAGCAUCAUCAUCUUCUCAUCACACUUAAUGGGAUCAGAAUUUACAAUCAAGAAGGAAGAAGAUUGAAUCUAACUUGGAGAAAUCUCAAUUGCAUGCAAAAAGAUCUUGGAAUAAGGAGAAUUGAAGAUUGCUAUCAUCAUCCAUCAUCUUCACGACCUCCUUUCGUAAUUCAGGUCCCUUUUAAGCAAGGUGGGGUUCUUUAG